CAAUAGCGUAUAUUUAAGUUGUUGCAGUUAAAAAGCUCGUAGUUGGAUUUCGGAUGGGACUUGCCGGUCCGUCGUUUCGAUGUGCACUGGCCAGUCCUAUCUUGUUGUCGGGGACUAGCUCCUGGGCUUCACUGUCCGGGACUAGGAGCUGACGAGGUUACUUUGAGUAAAUUAGAAUGUUCAAAGCAAGCCUACGCUCUGAAUACAUUAGCAUGGAAUAACACGAUAGGACUCUGGCUUAUCUUGUUGGUCUGUGAGACCAGAGUAAUGAUUAAGAGGGACAGUCGGGGGCAUUCGUAUUUCAUUGUCAGAGGUGAAAUUCUUGAAUUUAUGAAAGACGAACUUCUGCGAAAGCAUUUGUCAAGGAUGUUUUCAUUAA
rnacentral:rRNA from 1 species